rnacentral:sRNA from 1 species
UAAUGAAUAAGAAGUGGUGCAUUAUUCUAGUCACAAUCCGUUGUUACGAAGACGAGCCUAAAAAUUCGUUAAUAGCACAUCUAUGAAGCGUCUGGUGCUUGCUUGAUACGCCCAGUAUUGGGUGGGUGCUGGACGGAAAGAAACCAUGGGCGCCUAUAAUGGCAUAUAGGGAACGACCCAUCUUUUCGCGGAGACCUAAACUUGUGGAUACCUAUCUACGACUUAGGAUUAAACCUAUCAUGUGGAGAAAUCUAUGGAUAGCGUAGCUUGGCUUGAGUGAUAAUUGGGGAUAGAGACAACUACUAAAAAGGUGUACAUCUUUUUAGUAGUAUUGCUACUUGAAACAGUUACUUGCAAAAAAGCAUAGUAAUAACAUCGAAUGUGCAAGAGGAAAACUCCUAGAGUGUACGAUUAAUGUAGGAUUGCAGUGUAUACUAAGUGGUAAUCAAGUCAUAGAAUUGGUGACAAUCUAUUGCUUCCUUUCAAGGGGAACCGCUUGCUGGUAACGGUAAGUAGGAAGUAGGGAAAUCCAACUUGACCUAAGGUACAAAGUUUACUAUAUUAGUUACCAUUUCUUAUUUUU